rnacentral:rRNA from 1 species
GAUGAACGCUGGCGGCGUGCCUAAUACAUGCAAGUCGAGCGAACAGAUAAGGAGCUUGCGCCUUUGACGUUAGCGGCGGACGGGUGAGUAACACGUGGGUAACCUACCUAUAAGACUGGUAUAACUCCGGAAAACCGGGGCUUAUGCCGGAUAAGAUUUAGCACCGCAUGGUGCGAAGGUGAAAGAUGGUUUUGCUAUCACUUAUAGAUGGACACGCGCCGUAUUGGAUAGUUGGUAAGUUAACGGCUUACCAAGGCAACGAUUGGUAGCCGACCUGAGAGAGUGAUAGGCGACACUGGAACUGAGACACGGUCCAGAGUCCUGCGAGAGGCAGCAGUAGGGAAUCGGACGCAAUGGGCGAGAGCAUGACGGAGCAACGCCGCGUGAGUGAUGAAGGCCUUCGGAUCGUAAAACCGUGUUAUGAGGGAAGAACAAAUGUGUAAGUAACUGAGCACGUCUUGACGGUACCGAGUCAGAAGGCCACGGCUAACUACGUG